rnacentral:rRNA from 1 species
GCCGUGCGGGGUCUAUACAUGCAAGUCGAGCGGACCGACGGGAGCUUGCUCCCUUAGGUCAGCGGCGGACGGGUGAGUAACACGUGGGUAACCUGCCUGUAAGACUGGGAUAACUCCGGGAAACCGGGGCUAAUACCGGAUGCUUGAUUGAACCGCAUGGUUCAAUCAUAAAAGGUGGCUUUUAGCUACCACUUACAGAUGGACCCGCGGCGCAUUAGCUAGUUGGUGAGGUAACGGCUCACCAAGGCGACGAUGCGUAGCCGACCUGAGAGGGUGAUCGGCCACACUGGGACUGAGACACGGCCCAGACUCCUACGGGAGGCAGCAGUAGGGAAUCUUCCGCAAUGGACGAAAGUCUGACGGAGCAACGCCGCGUGAGUGAUGAAGGUUUUCGGAUCGUAAAACUCUGUUGUUAGGGAAGAACAAGUACCGUUCGAAUAGGGCGGUACCUUGACGGUACCUAACCAGAAAGCCACGGCUAACUACGUGCCAGCCGCCCGGGGUAAUACCAUAAGAGUUUUGAUCAUGGCUCAGGACGAACGCUGGCGGCGUGCCUAAUACAUGCAAGUCGAGCGGACCGACGGGAGCUUGCUCCCUUAGGUCAGCGGCGGACGGGUGAGUAACACGUGGGUAACCUGCCUGUAAGACUGGGAUAACUCCGGGAAACCGGGGCUAAUACCGGAUGCUUGAUUGAACCGCAUGGUUCAAUCAUAAAAGGUGGCUUUUAGCUACCACUUACAGAUGGACCCGCGGCGCAUUAGCUAGUUGGUGAGGUAACGGCUCACCAAGGCGACGAUGCGUAGCCGACCUGAGAGGGUGAUCGGCCACACUGGGACUGAGACACGGCCCAGACUCCUACGGGAGGCAGCAGUAGGGAAUCUUCCGCAAUGGACGAAAGUCUGACGGAGCAACGCCGCGUGAGUGAUGAAGGUUUUCGGAUCGUAAAACUCUGUUGUUAGGGAAGAACAAGUACCGUUCGAAUAGGGCGGUACCUGACGGUACCUAACCAGAAAGCCAAGGC